rnacentral:sRNA from 1 species
AUGUAGAAAAUUACAAUCGGACAUUUCUGGAGUUUGUGUGCCCAUUAGUAUCCUCCAACAAAACCGGCUUAACAAUAUACGGUAAACAACAAACGAAUGAAAAUUAAGCGAUAAAGAAAACGCUUAGUUUGCUAAACCAUCAGCAAAAGUGAAGUUUGAGCUCGGUAAGAUCACUUAAAAG